AUUGAACGCUGGCGGCAGGCCUAACACAUGCAAGUCGAGCGGAUGGAGGGAGCUUGCUCCUGGAUUCAGCGGCGGACGGGUGAGUAAUGCCUAGGAAUCUGCCUGGUAGUGGGGGAUAACGUCCGGAAACGGGCGCUAAUACCGCAUACGUCCUGAGGGAGAAAGUGGGGGAUCUUCGGACCUCACGCUAUCAGAUGAGCCUAGGUCGGAUUAGCUAGUUGGUGGGGUAAAGGCCUACCAAGGCGACGAUCCGUAACUGGUCUGAGAGGAUGAUCAGUCACACUGGAACUGAGACACGGUCCAGACUCCUACGGGAGGCAGCAGUGGGGAAUAUUGGACAAUGGGCGAAAGCCUGAUCCGGCCAUGCCGCGUGUGUGAGGAAGGUCUUCGGAUUGUAAAGCACUUUAAGUUGGGAGGAAGGGCAGUAAGUUAAUACCUUGCUGUUUUGACGUUACCAACAGAAUAAGCACCGGCUAACUUCGUG
rnacentral:rRNA from 1 species